GACACGGGUGGGGACGGAGGACGGAAAGAAAUCUGGCGUCUCCUGUUUACCACAGGAGGCUGAACUUGGAAGAAAAAUGUGCAGUCCCAGCAGAAUGGACGAGAGGACAGCAGCUUCCCCGGGGCGGCCUGUAGGCUGAACAGCAGAUGGGGACUCAGGCGGGAGCCAGGGGUCUGCAGGCCCCAGGCCUUCUAAAGGAUGUUUAAUUCCUGAUCCGUUUCAGGGAGGGAUGAAGAGAGGCGCCCCGUGCAGGCUUACCAUGGUUUUCUUCCAUUUUAAAGAGAAAAAAAGGAAGGGAACUGAAAAGUCUUGAUGGGACAUGUUUAUGAAUCUGAACUUGGCUCACCUUGUGAUGGAUACAGCAGACACAUGGCUGACCUGCUGGAGAGGCCUCGAGAGCUGCAGUGGUAUAGACCUUGCUUGUGGGGAAAAGUAGGCGCCAGCAAUUCCAGCAGGACAGAGAUGAGACCACCUGAAAAAUCCUCCUUCCUGUCUUCAGCCUUGGAAAUGCAAACCCAGCCAGGACAGCUGGUAUCUGGUCAGAAGCCAGCCUGCCCUCUAUGACAGCUGAGUAAACCUUCCCAGAGAUCCCGGAGACAAGGACACAGGGACAGCUCAGAGGACUCGGGAACCCAGCACCCUGUGCUGUUAGCCCAUCAGUACUACGGUUAUUUUUGCUUGCCAAUUUCACAAUAGUGACCGACUCAGGUCCCAAAAGUGUAGGUAUUUUAUUAGUAUGAGAUCUGCUCUUUCGUGUUCCUCCAUAUCGGCUAAGGUAUAUAAACUGUAAAUAGCGCCACCUAAGGCAAGUGCUGUGGGAUCAUUGCUAUCAUCAUCCUUGGUGUCUGCAGGACACCAAUAACCAUCUCGUGAAGACACUCAAGAAGCCCUCUGGAGAGGUGCACAUGGCAAGGAACUGAGGCCUCCUGCCCACAGCCACACAUACACGCCAGCCACAUGUGGAGUCACCUGGGGAGGAGAGUGUCUAACCCCAGGCCAACCUUCAACAAUGGCAGCCCCAUCAAUACCAGACUACAGCCUCAUGAGAGACCUCAAGCUAGACCACUUACCACUCCCAAAUUCCCGACUGCAGAAACCGUGUGUGUUAGCAAGUGUAUAUUCUUGUUUUAAGGCACUAAAUAUGGGGUCAUUUGUUACCAGUAACAGAUAACUAGUGCAGCCCUACAUAACAAUGAUCAUGUGAGGACAGGGAGUGAGGAGCCUCUGAUCACUCCACAGCCAAUUUCAGGGGAUCAAACCCCCCAUGAGAAGGCUGGCUGAGCAGCAGCACCAGGUGGAGAGCGCAGCCGAGCCAGGGCCACUGAACUGCCCAGGAAGGAAAGCAAAGGCAGGGAACGGGCCAAGACGGUCCCAGAAGACAAGCAGAGGCGUGCUGUGAGUGCACACCCAGCCGAUUAUACUUCAUUCUAGCAGGUGCAAGGUAGACUAGCAUUUAAAAAUAAGAAUUCCCGAGAGCUCUCACUGUGUUUGCAAAACCCAGCCAGCUGUCUAGGGCAUUGUUCCAAGGGAGGAAGGAAAAGUUCUGCAGGAUGUUAUAAUUUUACCCCAAAAGAAUCACUCAGGAAGUAAAAGAGUCUGAACAUUGACUCCGGGCCAAGGUGGGACUGAGGCACCUGGCCUCUGGGGACAGAAGACCCAGCACUGCCCAUCUCUCAGCCUUGGUUUCCUCCUUCACAGCACUGCCUUUAAUAGCACUUGGCUCUGAUGAUCAGAUUAGAUGAGACAUAUGACUGUUUCGCAGACUGUAAGAUACUUUGCAAAUUAAAAAGUACCUACAACUAAAUAUAUAAGGCCAUUGUUUUCAGAGGAAACAUCUCUCUACCCAGUCCUAAGGCACCAGCUGUCUCAGAGACAACACUGAACACUAAAAUAAAAUACAACACCAAAAGCAGGGCAAAAACACAGACUUCAUGCCCUCACCAGACUCUAGGAGACCCGGAUUCAGCUUCCAGACCCAGAACUUGACAGCUGUGCCACCUUGGACAAGUCAUUUUCUCUCUCUCUCUUUUUUUUUUUUUGUUUGUUUGUUUGUUUGAGACAGAGUCUCACUCUGUCCCCCAGGCUGGAGUACAUGAGCAGAGAUCACGCCACUGCACUCCAGCCUGGGCAACAGAGUGAGACUCCAUCAAAAAAAAUGAAUAAAAUUAAAAAAAAACUUUAAAAAGAUAUAUUCUCUGCUCGUGGAGCAUCAAUCUGUUAAUUUAACUUGAUUAUAUUAUCAGAGGCCACCAUCCCUCAGUGCCCAGAGUUAUAGCUCAGGGAGUUUACCCAGAGGAAAAGGUAAUUCAUAAGAAAAAAGGGAGCUCUGAAGCUUUUCCCAAAGGAACUGACUUUAUUUGAAAAAGGCUGUGGUAAAGUUCAAGCCUAAGGGUACUCUUGAAAACAACAUCUCCUUUUAAUUAAGAGCAAGCUAAACCAAAGACCAGCUAAUUCACCAGAAAGAACAAGGGAAACAGAAAAAACAAGAAGAGCCCUCCUGAGGUCCUAACAAACCUCAAAGACUGGCCUCAAAAUCUACUUCUGCCUGGAUUUACUUGAAUCAGACUCUGGAGCAAUUUAUACCCCGGGACAUUUUCAAAGACAAUAGAGUGGCUGGGCACAGUGGCUCACACCUGUAAUCCCAGCACUUUGGGAGGCCAAGGCAGGCAGAUCACUUGAGGCCAGGAGUUCGAGACCAGCCCAGGCGACACGGUGAAACCCUGUUUCUACUAAAAACAUAAAAAUUAGCCAGGCGUGGUGGCAGGCACCUGUAGUCCCAGCUACUCAGGAAGUUGAGGCAGGGAGAAUUGCUUGAACUGAGGAGACGGAGGCUGCAGUGAGCCGAAAUCAUGCCAUUGCACUCCAGCCUGGGCGAAAGAGCAAGACUCUGUAUCAAAAAGAAAAGAAAAAAAGAAAAAGAAAAAA
rnacentral:lncRNA from 1 species